UGUGACCUGCCUGCUCACAACAUAAAGCUCAGCUUUCCCUGAUCGCUAUAGUUCGGUUCGGCACCUAUAUCCCAUCCAAGGCAAAGGCACAACUUUGAUGACAGGCUUGGAACCUCUUUUUCAAAGAAGAGGAAGACAAUGAACUCCGGAGUGCUGUUUAAUGUCUUAGUCCCCGUGUCUCUUAUUUCAAAGCCCUCCACUGAGAAGGGGGAUGGGACCGAUGCUCGAAUGUAAACCUCUAGGCAGUGCUGAACACACGCUGGAAAACUGGUGUUGUUAUGAAAGGUGCAAUAAGCAUCAAAAGUGAAAAUGAAACUGGCCUACAUCCAGCUUAAUGACGACUCCUUCCAUCAAUACUGCCAGAACACCAGAGUUUUUCUACAAGCAUCUUGACAUCAAGAAGAAAGCAGGACAUAGAAAUCCACUCUCUUGUCCUUGGAGCACACGUUGACCUGAC